UGUAAUGGAAACCUUAUGCAGUGCAUACUUUUUAAAAUUUGGGGGCAUAAAAGAAGUAUUUUAUGCUCACCAAGGCUGCAUUUAUUUGUUUAAAAUGUUAUUUAAAGUAUUUGCUUAUAUAUAACCAUAAUAAUGUAAACAAAGGAUACAAUUAUUUUAAUUCUUCUGUGAGAACUGAUUUCCAUUUAUUCAGUUCUACAGUUCUGGUGUCAUUUUCACAUGCUUGAAAUAUCAGAUAUAACAUAUGAAGAUAACACGGGAAAAUCAAAGUAAAUACCAUUUGUGAGUCAUUUCUAAUCAAGCUGUAACUUUGUCAAAUUAUGCAAAAAGUGUGAAAAUAUGAUUUGAUUGUAUUCUAUUGUAUUAAAUGGCUAUGUUAGCAAGGCAAGUGAGCAAGUUCAGUUUAUUUCUAAAAAUAUUGAUACUGAUAUUUCCAUCACGGAUCAUUUGAGAUGUAAUGGAAAUGUGUUUGGAAUUUUUAUGACUUUCAGAUAAGAAGAUUUUUUCCUUCACCAAAAAGGAAUUCCCAGGACUGCUGAAAAAUUUCAAUGACAAAUGUGUUUUGUGAAAAACAGUAAAGCGUAAAUUUCAUUUAUCUAUUUUUAUGAUGCUAUUCAUACAGCUAAAACAAAAUACAGUAUUUCUUUCUCUCUUUUGUUUGCCUUUAUCUAAUUCUACUUAUAUGGACUUCAAGUGAUUUCGGCAAGAAACAGUGGAGAAAUAGGAUCAAGAAAUGUUAGUUCUACUCAGUUUCAGAGCACUAGGCCAUGGUUUCUAUAGAGCACGCUGUUAUUGUACACACAGACACACAUGAAAGCCACAAACACGUGCACACUUAUCACAUCACCACCCAAUUUUCUCGUCUAAUCUAACACGCCACAACACCGAGAACAGGAAGAAGACACAAUGCAUGAGAUGAGGUCACAGGUUGCUGUGACAAAAUAUCUGUCAUCAGGCCCAAAUCUAAUCUCCUGAUGUGUUGUGAAAGAGGCGAGAUGAGCCAAUUAAUUGAGUGUCAUUUCCUCUGUCAGCGGUGUCAGCGCUGCUGUGUUGUGAGGACUCACAUUGUACACUUCUACUGUUCUGUAGCGAGCACGUGAGGACAAAGACCUGUGAUUAAAGAUGGAUUCCUCGCGCCCCCUGCUGAUCAGCAGCAGAAUGUGCAUCUACAUACAGCAGACGCGCAGAAGUCGCAAACGAUCCUUUUUGU
ensembl:lncRNA